rnacentral:rRNA from 1 species
GGAGUUAUGAAAUGCGGGAGUGUUAAUGGCAUUCCCGUUUGACGAAAGCUCCAGAGGAAGCCACGGCUAACUCUGUGCCAGCAGCCGCGGUAAUACAGAGGUGGCAAGCGUUGUUCGGAAUUAUUGGGCGUAAAGAGCACGUAGGCGGCCCUGCAAGUCAGUUGUGAAAGCCUUCCGCUUAACGGGAGAACGGCAUCUGAUACUACGGGGCUAGAGUACGGGAGGGGAGAGUGGAACUUCUG